GGGUUGUGAGGUUAAGCGACUAAGCGUACACGGUGGAUGCCCUGGCAGUCAGAGGCGAUGAAGGACGUGCUAAUCUGCGAAAAGCGUCGGUAAGGUGAUAUGAACCGUUACAGCCGGCGAUGUCCGAAUGGGGAAACCCAGUGCAAUUCGUUGCACUAUCGUUAACUGAAUACAUAGGUUAACGAGGCGAACCGGGGGAACUGAAACAUCUAAGUACCCCGAGGAAAAGAAAUCAACCGAGAUUCCCCCAGUAGCGGCGAGCGAACGGGGAGCAGCCCAGAGUCUGAAUCAGCUUGUGUGUUAGUGGAACGGUCUGGAAAGUCCGACGGUACAGGGUGAUAGUCCCGUACACCAAAAUGCACAGGUUGUGAACUCGAAGAGUAGGGCGGGACACGUGGUAUCCUGUCUGAAUAUGGGGACCAUCCUCCAAGGCUAAAUACUCCUGACUGACCGAUAGUGAACCAGUACCGUGAGGGAAAGGCGAAAAGAACCCCGGCGAGGGAGUGAAAAGAACCUGAAACCGUGUACGUACAAGCAGUGGGAGCACCUUCGGGUGUGACUGCGUACCUUUUGUAUAAUGGGUCAGCGACUUAUAUUCUGUAGCAAGGUUAACCGUAUAGGGAGCCGCAGGGAAACCGAGUCUUAACUGGGCGUUAAGUUGCAGGGUAUAGACCCGAAACCCGGUGAUCUAGCCAUGGGCAGGUUGAAGGUUGGGUAACACUAACUGGAGGACCGAACCGACUAAUGUUGAAAAAUUAGCGGAUGACUUGUGGCUGGGGGUGAAAGGCCAAUCAAACCGGGAGAUAGCUGGUUCUCCCCGAAAGCUAUUUAGGUAGCGCCUCGUGAACUCAUCUUCGGGGGGUAGAGCACUGUUUCGGCUAGGGGGUCAUCCCGACUUACCAACCCGAUGCAAACUACGAAUACCGAAGAAUGUUAUCACGGGAGACACACGGCGGGUGCUAACGUCCGUCGUGAAGAGGGAAACAACCCAGACCGCCAGCUAAGGUCCCAAAGUCAUGGUUAAGUGGGAAACGAUGUGGGAAGGCACAGACAGCCAGGAUGUUGGCUUAGAAGCAGCCAUCAUUUAAAGAAAGCGUAAUAGCUCACUGGUCGAGUCGGCCUGCGCGGAAGAUGUAACGGGGCUAAACCAUGCACCGAAGCUGCGGCAGCGACACUAUGUGUUGUUGGGUAGGGGAGCGUUCUGUAAGCCUGCGAAGGUGUGCUGUGAGGCAUGCUGGAGGUAUCAGAAGUGCGAAUGCUGACAUAAGUAACGAUAAAGCGGGUGAAAAGCCCGCUCGCCGGAAGACCAAGGGUUCCUGUCCAACGUUAAUCGGGGCAGGGUGAGUCGACCCCCUAAGGCGAGGCCGAAAGGCGUAGUCGAUGGGAAACAGGUUAAUAUUCCUGUACUUGGUGUUACUGCGAAGGGGACGGAGAAGGCUAUGUUAGCCGGGCGACGGUUGUCCCGGUUUAAGCAUGUAGGCUGGUUAUCCAGGCAAAUCCGGAUAAUCAAGGCUGAGGUGUGAUGACGAGGCACUACGGUGCUGAAGUAACAAAUGCCCUGCUUCCAGGAAAAGCCUCUAAGCAUCAGGUAACAUCAAAUCGUACCCCAAACCGACACAGGUGGUCAGGUAGAGAAUACCAAGGCGCUUGAGAGAACUCGGGUGAAGGAACUAGGCAAAAUGGUGCCGUAACUUCGGGAGAAGGCACGCUGGUGUGUAGGUGAAGUCCCUGCGGAUGGAGCUGAGACCAGUCGAAGAUACCAGCUGGCUGCAACUGUUUAUUAAAAACACAGCACUGUGCAAACACGAAAGUGGACGUAUACGGUGUGACGCCUGCCCGGUGCCGGAAGGUUAAUUGAUGGGGUUAUCCGUAAGGAGAAGCUCUUGAUCGAAGCCCCGGUAAACGGCGGCCGUAACUAUAACGGUCCUAAGGUAGCGAAAUUCCUUGUCGGGUAAGUUCCGACCUGCACGAAUGGCGUAAUGAUGGCCAGGCUGUCUCCACCCGAGACUCAGUGAAAUUGAACUCGCUGUGAAGAUGCAGUGUACCCGCGGCAAGACGGAAAGACCCCGUGAACCUUUACUAUAGCUUGACACUGAACAUUGAGCCUUGAUGUGUAGGAUAGGUGGGAGGCUUUGAAGCGUGGACGCCAGUCUGCGUGGAGCCAACCUUGAAAUACCACCCUUUAAUGUUUGAUGUUCUAACGUUGGCCCCUGACCGGGGUUGCGGACAGUGUCUGGUGGGUAGUUUGACUGGGGCGGUCUCCUCCCAAAGCGUAACGGAGGAGCACGAAGGUUAGCUAAUCCUGGUCGGACAUCAGGAGGUUAGUGCAAUGGCAUAAGCUAGCUUGACUGCGAGCGUGACGGCGCGAGCAGGUGCGAAAGCAGGUCAUAGUGAUCCGGUGGUUCUGAAUGGAAGGGCCAUCGCUCAACGGAUAAAAGGUACUCCGGGGAUAACAGGCUGAUACCGCCCAAGAGUUCAUAUCGACGGCGGUGUUUGGCACCUCGAUGUCGGCUCAUCACAUCACGGGGCUGAAGUAGGUCCCAAGGGUAUGGCUGUUCGCCAUUUAAAGUGGUACGCGAGCUGGGUUUAGAACGUCGUGAGACAGUUCGGUCCCUAUCUGCCGUGGGCGCUGGAGAAUUGAGGGGGGCUGCUCCUAGUACGAGAGGACCGGAGUGGACGCAUCACUGGUGUUCGGGUUGUCAUGCCAAUGGCACUGCCCGGUAGCUAAAUGCGGAAGAGAUAAGUGCUGAAAGCAUCUAAGCACGAAACUUGCCCCGAGAUGAGUUCUCCCUGAGACUAUAAGUCUCCUGAAGGAACGUUAAAGACGAUGACGUUGAUAGGCCGGGUGUGUAAGCGCAGCGAUGCGUUGAGCUAACCGGUACUAAUGAACCGUGAGGCUUAACCUUACAACGCCGAAG
rnacentral:rRNA from 1 species